UCCAGACAAAUUUAGGAGGUUUAAGCUGUUGGAUGAGUUAAGUGGAGUGGAGCGUUGUCACCGUGCUAAGAGCAAAGGUCUCUACCCCAAGGUAAGACCUGGCUGGUUUGCUGGGUCCAGUCUUACAUUUGGCUAUGAUUUAGAUAUAAUUUUUCAAAAUCCUUUGCAUUUUUUUCUUUUCCUUUAUUUUUUUCCCCCUUCUUUUCCCUCCCCGCUCUGGAUUUAUGGGUCAGGAACCCUCCAAAGUUGUCCUGAUGGAUUAAGCAGCAAUAAGUUGUAUCGAGUAAAUUAAAAAUGAAAUAGUUACAGCUGUUGGAAUAGUCUCAGGGCUGCAGGAUGUAAAAGACUUUCUACCCUCAAGGGGCCUGGAAGUAAUCUGUGAAGCACCAGCUGCUUCAAUAAAGACAGGCUGAGUGAGGGCUGGGGUCCUGAAGGAUGGAGAGAGCAUCCAGUGCCAUUGGGCCUGAGUAUGGUUUAAGGGAAACCAAGGGAGCAGCUGCCUUCCAAGCUCUGUUUGCUCCCAGUAUCCCCAGACAGUUUGGGCCAGUCCCAGAUUUAAUGGAGCAGAAAGGACAGGGAUGGCUGGGAAUAACACAUGGAGGAAUUUUUCAUCCCAGCUCAUCUCCAAACAGUGCCCAUGAGGUGUCUUUGCUGUGUGCACAGUGAUGUACCCCUCUCUGCUCCCGGCACCACAUUCUGCCUCUGAAUUACUGCCCUGAGUAAUGUUUAAGGUGGAAUUUGUCUCUGCAGAUGAAAGGAGCAGCUGAAUGCUGUCUGUGGUGCAAUAUUCCCUUUAACCCAGCUGCAUAUGGGGAGCGAGAGGAGGAGGGCACAUCCUCAGCAGCAGAAUCUGUGCAACUUCACAUUUCUCAGCUAUAAACCUUUCAAUAGCUGGAAGUAAAUCCUUCAGCUUUCUACUAGAGCUCAGCCUCUGCAGCUGCAAAUUUAUUUGGCAGGCAGAGAAUGGGGCCAAAAGAAGUAAAUACGAGUGAUGUGAGUGAUAGUGCUAGAACAUUACGCAAGCUCCCACAUGGCUGCAGCAAUUCCCAGGCUGCUAAUUCCCUGCUGGAGCUCUCCUACCAAAACUGGAGGUGUCCUUCCCAGGGUGCUGGGAAGGGAGGGGGAUGCGGGAGAAGGUGUUUCUGGACAGGGGGUCUGCAGAGCUCAGCUCCAAGUGUGGUUUUGGGAUACAAGGCUGCUCGUGUGUGUUGGAGAGGUGCAAACAGAGAUGAUGCCCUGCUCGGGUUUGUUUAUGGUCUCACAUGUAUAAGUACUAUAAAUCUAUUCCUGGCUACUGGAGUUGGGCUGGAAGUUCAUCCAUGUAUUCACAUUUUAUAGGUGCCCAGGUAAAAAUCAGUGUGGUCUGAUAGCCCGGUGAUGUGCGUGCUGGGCUGGGGAUGAGGUGGAUGCCAGUAUUCCCACUGAUGUUAUUCUGGUUGCUAUUAGUUCCUAUUGCAUUAACACCUUGGUCCCCUGUCAUAGAGUAAGAGCCCUCAGUACUAACACAGAUGUUCAACAAAAUUAUGAGGACUGGCCCAAAGCAUCUACCAUCUGACUAAUACUUUUUCUCUCCCCCUUAUGAAUUGAUGUUGCUUAAUACUUUGGAAUCUCACAGCAUUUCAGCCAUGGGAAGAUGUUUUUAUAUCCUCUUUUGUACAGGGACCUUGUGGGCUUGGGGGGGUGGUGGUUGGUUUUGGUUUGGCUUUGCAUUGCUGUUGUAAUUUAAAGGGAUUUCUUGCCCCCAUGUUGUAAAGGGGCUCCAUCAACUCGCAAGCAUACUGGCAACGUGUAGCUUGCUUGCACAUUUGAAAAGGAGACUUCAUUUGGUGGGGGUCUUUUCUGCUAAUUGCCAGUGCAGCAAAACUAGCUUUGGAUCUGGAAAUAGCUCUAAGAUGCAGUCACUUUUUCAGAAGGAAAGUGGGGGAGGAGGAUCUAUAUACUGAAUGUGGGGGUACUGAGAUAGUGCUGGGCUUCAACACAAGCUUGCGUGGCUCUGCCUUUGUUGGGAAUAACAUCUAGAUCCUAGACUUGAGUUACUUGCAGGGUCUGUGCCGUUGUCAUCACCCCAGGAGGCAAUGCCCCUGGAAGGGGCCAGUCCCCAUAACUGAUGGAGUGUGGGGGUCCCUUGGCAGAGCACGACCUGUUCCUCUCCCAGCAGACCCCAGUUACAGCCGUGGCUCAGUAACUUGUUCUCUGCAGGACGCCCGGCGAUGCCACAGCCGUUACUGACGGCUCCAUCCUGGAGCCCAGAUGAGAACAUUCAUUUCACACCACAAACUUCUUCUCUCUCCAUUCCCCCUCCCUUCUUUUAUCGAGUUUCAAUAUAAUAAACAAAGGGGAGUUAUUAUUUCAUUGGCAGACUCCAGCUAAUGCACAAACUGUUUUCAGUACUGGCACACGGAGGGGCUUUUUUCACCAUAUACUGGCCAGUCAGACCCGUAUCAGUCCUAAUGGCACAGGGAAAUGGAAACUGAGAUCUUUUACCUUGAAGAAUAGCUGCAAUUCAUCCACUGCUCAGACUCCCCUCCCCUUUAAUUUCUUUUAUUGCUAGCACAGCAAAAUGAAUCAUCACAGUGGUAUCAAAGGAAAUGUUUCCAAGCUGUUGAUGUACAGCAAAGGGACAGUUUCAUAUAACUUAGUAUUUAAUCUUCCCAGCCCAUGGCACCGUGCUUGGUGUGAACGCUUUGGUUCUCAUCAUGACUUUGGGCAAAUUGCUUCACUUCUCCAGGCUUCUGCUGUCUUUUUAGAUGGUCCAUUUGGAUAUAAAACUUUUCCAUCUGAAAGUCAUGAAUUUAAGCCUUAUUCUUGGCUUGUACCAAAGCCAUUCCCAAUAGACAGCAUUGAAAUUAGUACCUCAUUAAUUGGGACAAUUAAUUAGCAGCCGAGUCCAGCUCCAUCACUCUUUCUGUACUUCAGUCUUUUGCUACAGGUGCCCUUCGCCACGCUGGCCUCUGGACUACAACAGGCCCUUGACUAGUUACAACUGCAUGCCAUAUUUCAUGUAUUAGUUAGCUUUUGAGCAUUCCUUUCUGGAGCUGAAAAGAUACUGAAGUUGUUAAAGCGAGUCCUUGUUACACGUGUUUUAGGAAAGCAGAGGUUUCUGCAGGCAACCCCACAGUGUGAGAUCCAGAAGUACCUGCCAACUGCCACGGCAAUAACUGGAGUCCCCAUCCCAGCAGCUCACCCACGGGGUGUCAAUGGGAGAGCACACUCAUGGAGGGUUUGAAGUUGUCAAAGACAGAGAUUUUUCCAUUGUGCUGCAAGCAAGGCUGAAGACUGGUCAAUGUGUUGCACAUGCACACCCACAUUUACCACCAACUGAAUGAUGAUGAAACCCCUCCCCACGCUGCUUGGAUCCUUCCCUGCUCUAUGCUUCUGGAAGAACUAGCUCCGAAACUGCAGCUCCUCCAAGGCUUCUGCAAGGUCAGCAAAGUGUGAACAUCACGCCGAACGCACCCAGAUACUUUCAGAGGUUCAGCAGUCCCUGAAAAGAGCUUUUUUAUGAUGAAAACAGACUGUCAGAUGAGUUUGGAUUCUGCCACAUGGUCCUAGCGAUAAUAAGCCAUCUGUGUGCACGCGACCUUUCCUCUCCCCAUUUUGUCUCCAUCACUUUCCUUCCAAGUCCCCUCUCUCUGCUUUGACCUACAUUUGAGUAACCCACCAAAUGCCAGCAGUGCACAUAGCAGAGUUAAAUGUGUACUCGGUUACCAACACGCUAACGAACAGCAAGUCCAUCCUCAGCAGAGGGAAAAGAAGCAUGUGGAAAUGGGAUGAUCCAUCAAAUGGAAAAGGACCCAUCAGGAACAUAAUCGCCUUCUGCUACACUUGACUGAUUGAUUGACUGGCUCCUCUCCCAGUUAGUGGGACUUUUGCUCCUAAAUUGUUUGGGGUAGGGUUUUAAAAGAUGUUUGGUACUGUUUGUAUAUUAUGAUGAUGAUGAUAAUAUAUGUAUAAUAAUAUAUAGUACAUAUAUGGUAUAUAAUAUAUAGUAUUUAUAUAAUAUUUAAAAGCUGCACUUUUAUUUCCUUUUCCAUGGCUGGAAUUCUAAGUAAUCAAAAGCUAGAGCUUAUACCUCUGUAUUAUAGAUACAUUCAGUUUGUGCCACUUACGAUUAAUGUUAACCAAGUGUGUUUGUAAGCAGUUCCAGGAUCACGUUCUCUGAAAGCUUUUCCUUUUGUGUAACUUUAUAUAAGAUAAAAUAGGAAAUAAAAGCUGGGACAGACUCACGCUCA